rnacentral:rRNA from 1 species
CGGGACGGGUGAGUAAUGUCUGGGAAACUGCCCGAUGGAGGGGGAUAACUACUGGAAACGGUAGCUAAUACCGCAUAAUGUCUGCGGACCAAAGCGGGGGACCUCCGGGCCUCGCGCCAUCAGAUGAACCCAUAUGGGAUUAGCUAGUAGGUGAGGUAACGGCUUACCUAGGCGACGAUCCCUAGCUGGUCUGAGAGGAUGACCAGCCACACUGGAACUGAGACACGGUCCAG